GAUCAUGGCUCAGGAUGAACGCUAGCUACAGGCUUAACACAUGCAAGUCGAGGGGCAGCGCAGUGUAGCAAUACAUGGGCGGCGACCGGCGCACGGGUGCGUAACGCGUAUCCAACCUUCCCGUUACUCAGGGAUAGCCUUCCGAAAGGGAGAUUAAUACCUGAUGGUAUCAGAAUUUCGCAUGUUAUUUGAAUUAAAGAUUUAUCGGUAACGGAUGGGGAUGCGUGACAUUAGGUAGAUGGCGGGGUAACGGCCCACCAUGCCCACGAUGUCUAGGGGUUCUGAGAGGAAGGUCCCCCACACUGGAACUGAGACACGGUCCAGACUCCUACGGGAGGCAGCAGUGAGGAAUAUUGGUCAAUGGUCGGAAGACUGAACCAGCCAAGUAGCGUGAAGGAUGAAGGUUCUAUGGAUUGUAAACUUCUUUUAUACGGGAAUAAAACCUCCCACGUGUGGGAGCUUGUAUGUACCGUAUGAAUAAGCAUCGGCUAACUACGUG
rnacentral:rRNA from 1 species